rnacentral:rRNA from 1 species
AGAGUUUGAUCCUGGCUCAGAACGAACGCUGGCGGCGCGCCUAAUACAUGCAAGUCGAGCGAGAAGGUGUAGCAAUACACUUGUAAAGCGGCGAACGGGUGAGGAAUGCAUGGGUAACCUACCCUCGAGUGGGGAAUAACCAGCCGAAAGGUUGGCUAAUACCGCAUACGAUUCCGGGACUUCGGUUUCGGAAAGAAAGCUGUACCGUGGGUACAGCGCUCCUGGAUGGGCUCAUGUCCUAUCAGCUUGUUGGUGGGGUAACGGCUCACCAAGGCUUCGACGGGUAGCUGGUCUGAGAGGACGAUCAGCCACACUGGCACUGCGACACGGGCCAGACUCCUACGGGAGGCAGCAGUAAGGAAUAUUGCGCAAUGGACGAAAGUCUGACGCAGCGACGCCGCGUGGGGGAUGAAGGUCUUCGGAUUGUAAACCCCUUUCGGCAGGGAAGAUGGAACGGGCAACCGUUUGGACGGUACCUGCAGAAGCAGCCACGGCUAACUUCGUGCCAGCAGCCGCGGUAAUACGAAGGUGGCAAGCGUUGUUCGGAUUCACUGGGCGUACAGGGAGCGUAGGCGGUUGGGUAAGCCCUCCGUGAAAUCUCCGGGCCUAACCCGGAAAGUGCAGAGGGGACUGCUCAGCUAGAGGAUGGGAGAGGAGCGCGGAAUUCCCGGUGUAGCGGUGAAAUGCGUAGAGAUCGGGAGGAAGGCCGGUGGCGAAGGCGGCGCUCUGGAACAUUACUGACGCUGAGGCUCGAAAGCGUGGGGAGCAAACAGGAUUAGAUACCCUGGUAGUCCACGCCUUAAACUAUGGAUACUAAGUGUCGGCGAGUUAUCGUGACUGGGAACCUUCCACGGUUUCCGCGACGCAGCAAACGCAUUAAGUGCCCCGCCUGGGGAGUACGAUCGCAAGAUUAAAACUCAAAGGAAUUGACGGGGCCCCGCACAAGCAGCGGAGCAUGCGGCU